rnacentral:rRNA from 1 species
ACAGGUGCUGCAUGGCUGUCGUCAGCUCGUGUCGUGAGAUGUUGGGUUAAGUCCCGCAACGAGCGCAAACCCCUAUCUUUACGUUGCCAUCAUUGAGUUGGGCACUCUAAAGAGACUGCCGGUGUCAAACCGGAGGAAGGUGGGGAUGACGUCAAGUCCUCAUGGCCUUUAUGACCAGGGCUACACACGUACUACAAUGGCCGGUACAAAGGGCAGCGACACAGCGAUGUGAAGCGAAUCCCGAAAAGCCGGUCUCAGUCCGGAUUGGAGUCUGCAACUCGACUCCAUGAAGUUGGAAUCGCUAGUAAUCGCGGAUCAGCACGCCGCGGUGAAUACGUUCCCGGGCCUU